UCGAGAAACUUACUCUUUGCUUGAGGGCAUUUUUCUGUUUUCAUUGAUCUGGUCCGUUGGUGCUUCUUGUACAGAUGAUGAUCGAUUGAAAUUUAAUAAGAUUCUUCGAGAACUAAUGGAAAGUCCAAUUUCAGAUCGAACUCGAAAUACGUUUAAAUUACAGAGUGGUACUGAGCAAACAUCCUCAAAGGCACUAACUGUCCCAUUUCCUGAAAAAGGAACAAUUUAUGAUUAUCAAUUUGUCACUGAGGGAACAGGAAAAUGGGAACCAUGGAUAAAGAAAUUGAAAGAAGCUCCUCCAAUUCCUAAAGAUGUAAUGUUUAAUGAAAUCAUUGUGCCAACUCUGGACACAAUUCGAUACUCUGCAUUAAUGGAAUUGUUGACCACCCAUCAAAAGCCUUCAAUAUUUGUAGGACCAACAGGAACUGGGAAAAGUGUUUACAUUACGAAUUUUCUUUUAAAUCAACUAAAUAAGGAAAUCUACAAACCUCUGCUAAUUAACUUCUCAGCACAAACUACAGCAGCUCAAACUCAGAAUAUUGUCAUGUCAAAAUUGGACAAGAGAAGAAAGGGAGUUUUUGGUCCUCC
rnacentral:lncRNA from 1 species